UGAAAGACAGCGACGAAGAAGAGCAAGGAUGCGACCCUUCUGCGUCACCGUCCUUCAGC
rnacentral:pre_miRNA from 1 species